ensembl:lncRNA
GUCAAUAACUCUGCUCUGUUAAGAAACUCUGAUUGCAGACGCCCCUUCUCUGGUGGAUCACUAUGACGAUGGUCUUCAAUCUGUCUGCUGGAAGUUUGGCUGUAAUAAACCAAAAGAAGCUUGCAGAACUUAUUGAACAGAUAAGCACAAGUAUCAAAGACAGGUACAACAUUGAAGAAAUGUAUGCAGUGGCCACAAGUGUUCCGAAGGAUGAAGACCAAGUUUCUUAUGACUUCACAAAGUCCAUGUGCCGAAAAGUGUGCAGAUCCAGAUGGAAAAUACAGGAUCACUGAUCAGCUCAGACGUCUCUUUAAUGGAUGUGAGUGGGGUGCAAAGGCGUUUGUAUUUAACGUUUUAUUCAGGCCACCUAGGCAGGACAUUAAUCCAGACAGGAUAAAUUUUGCCCUGACAAAUAUCGGAAUAGCCAUUGAUCACGAAAACUUAUUUCGCUGUAACGAAACUAAUAAUGGCGAUUUCCAUUGCAUCAAAUGCUUUAAUGGUAGUCAGAUAAACCCAAAUGCCUACAAAAGGAGCUGGAACAGGAAGCUCCAGGCGGUGCACCGUUGGUCAGAUGAACAGUCAAAGUCUACCCAAAUCAUCAACCACAUGGUCCUGGAUACGAUACACCCCCUCCAGUUUGCAUACCGCCCCAAUCGAUCAGUUGAUGACGCAACAGCAUUUGCCCUGCACCACAGGGCAUUAGCAUUAGCCCUGCACCACACUCUGCAACAUCUGAAGAGUAGCAGCACGUAUGUCAGGAUGCUCUUCCUGGACUACAGCUCUGCUUUCAACACCAUCCGCCCAGGCAAGCUGAUCGAGAAACUGAGUGACGUCAACAUCCCAACUCUCACUUGCAACUGGAUCCUGGACUUUUUGACAGAGAGACCACAGGUGGUGAGAAUUGGAGGACGCGUGUCUGCUGAGCUCACCAUCAGCACUGGAUCUCCACAGGGCUGCUGCCUCAGCCCUAAACUCUUCACCCUGUACACCCAUGACUGUGUCUCCACCCAGGAAAACUCCAUCAUCAUCAAAUACGCUAACAACACCACCAUCCUGGGGCUCAUCAACAGGGG